ensembl:ncRNA lncRNA:CR33938 long non-coding RNA:CR33938
UUGAGUCCGAGAGGUUCGGGAACAGGAGCAGCUUUCGAUCGCGCCUUAGGGUCAGUCAGACCAAUCCAGCCAUCAAAAACUCAUCUUUGGAUACAAUUAUUCUGGAUACAGCCUGCAUCCGCACACCCAAAUGGCAGAUACGUAGAGAUUUAACCCUUCUGUAUCGGCCUUGCAGUUGCUAGCUGAAGAUAACAAAAAAACGUAUGGACUCGGCUACCACAUCCCACAUCAACACCCAAUUGUUGACUAUGAACACCCGGAUCCGUCCAAGAACUAAGAGCUAAGGCUCCAUCGGGGCUAGCACCUGGCCAGAACACCUAUUGGUACUCAUCACGGAACAUUGAAUCGUUGGAAGGCCGCACAACACCGCACAUCAGCCAUCCACCACCCAUCCAUCCAUCACCCACCAAACGUCGUUUCGGCCCUUUGGACAAAAUUUACAUUUGAGUUUAAGUUUAGGUGUAAACAAUAAACAAAAAACAACAAUAGGCUACCAAAAAAAGAG